UACAGAGGGGGCUAGCGUUAUUCGGAAUUAUUGGGCGUAAAGGGCGCGUAGGCGGCCAUGCGUGUCUUCCGUGAAAUCCCUCGGCUUAACUGAGGACGUGCGGAAGAAACUGCAAGGCUCGAGUCCGGGAGAGGGGGGUGGAAUUCCCAGUGUAGCGGUGAAAUGCGUAGAUAUUGGGAGGAACACCGGUGGCGAAGGCGGCCCCCUGGACCGGUACUGACGCUGAGGAGCGAAAGCGUGGGGAGCAAACAGG
rnacentral:rRNA from 1 species